CCUACUGGAGGCAGCAGUGGGGAAUAUUGCACAAUGGGGGAAACCCUGAUGCAGCGACGCCGCGUGAGUGAAGAAGUAAUUCGUUAUGUAAAGCUCUAUCAGCAGGGAAGAAAAUGACGGUACCUGAGUAAGAAGCCCCGGCGAACUACGUGCCAGCAGCCGCGGUAAUACGUAGGGGGCAACCGUUAUCCGGAUUUACUGGGUGUAAAGGGAGCGUAGACGGCAGUGCAAGUCUGGAGUGAAAGGCGUGGGGGCAACCGCAGGAUUGCUCUGGAAACUGUACGGCUGGAGUGCAGGAGAGGUAAGUGGAAUUCGUGGUGUAGCGGUGAAAUGCGUAGAUAUUAGGAGGAAAACCAGUGGCGAAGGCAGCUUACUGGACUGUAACUGACGUUGAGGCUCGAAAGCGUGGGGAACAAACAGGAUUAGAUACCCUUGUAGUC
rnacentral:rRNA from 1 species